rnacentral:lncRNA from 1 species
GGGAGAGGCCUGAUGCCUUGUGACGAGGCCAGGGAGUGUUCACCCCAAACCCGCCCGAGAGGCAGAAGGAUAAGGGGGAAAUGUCAUCCUCGACCAGGAAACUCUCCAUCUAAGAACAUCAUGUCAGGAGAUAAGAGGCACCAGGAGAUCCACAGGCCUCAAUUAGAAGGAAGACCAACGACUUAGGACAAAAUAUCACGCAAAAAGUCAGAGCCAUGGAAUAAGAAACCCAAGAGUCGGCCCCCAAUUCCUUGGAUAAGGGAGCCCCUCCUCUCUGAGGGCCACACGACUGUCUCCUGUCCCGGCCUGGAUUAAUUAUUGCUGCAGUGUCAUUUUGUUUCAGAAAACCACCUCCUGGAUACUUCCAGCCAUUUGCGGGCUUUCUGUGUUCCAGUCCAUCUAUUUCAACCUCUAGUUUGCUCUUUUUGGUAAUUUUCCCACUGGAAGUUUUGGAUAGUUUAUUUUCACUCCUCCUUGUUGUGUCAGGUGUACGUUUCCCUCUGAACACACACAGUGACGUCCCAAACUUUCUCCCUGUAGUGUCCUCGGCACAUUCCACCUGGGUUUUCUGACCUGUGGGUCUGGGUGUCCUUUGACCCUCUGAUUGCUUCAGCUGUAUUUAUGGAUGCUUUUGCAGGUCUUCAAGGUAACUUCUUGUUUUAUUGCACUUGAUCAGAGAAUGGAUCUUAUCUGUUUUGGUUUUUCAAAUUUAUUAAGUUGGCUGUGGCCUAAUGGUUACAUUUUGAAAAGCUCUUUUAAGAAGGUUUAUUCUUUUUACAGUUUGAAAUAUAUCUUCUGGCCAAUUUUCUUUUUUAAAAUGUGGUAUUCAGAGUCUAUAUAUCUGUAUCUGCUUUGCGUAUUUAAUCUACCAUAGUCUCAAAUUGAUGAGUUAAAGUCUCCCACUAUUAUUGUUUUUUCUGCUUAUAUUUCCUAUAGCUAAGAUUUCAAUCAUAUGAUACUGUAUCAUAAAGUACAUUAAGACUUUUGCCUGUUUUCAUAACCUUUUCUAUGGUACAGACCUCCCAUUUACAGACGAGGACAUUGAAGCUAAGAACAGCCUGGUAAUCUGCCCCACAUUUUAUAGCAAAUGCCAGGUCUGGACGUCCAGCUAGGCCAGGCUGAAACCUUGGACAUUAACUGACACACACCCCACACAGGUAGGGACAGAUAUGCAAAGAAAAAACUGCCUGAAACAGUUUCCAUCUUUAUUCCUAAGCUGGCCAAACAGUUCCAGAUAAACCACACGUACAGGUUGUGUCAGAAGCUUCUAUGGGGAGCACCUGCACAUCUUAGGUUUACCCGACCCCUCGCUUCUGAGCAGCAGGCGCUCCUUCUCCAUCUGUGCCC